CUCCAUGUCAAAAUCAAGAUGUCAAGAUCUCGAAAAACAAAGUCAAGAUUUUGCAAAAGUGAUUAUUCAGUAUUUGCCCCCUCCAUGUCGCCUCGGGGCUCCGUACAUUCCAACGCCACACCGACGGUGUUUAAUACUCACGCACACACACGGUUCUCUCCUUCUCCUUGGUGUAGCCGUCAUGUUAGCAGUGUUUCCUACAUGACGUGUGUGUGUGUGUGUGUGUGUGUGUGUGUGUGUGUGUGUGUGUGUGUGUGUGUGUGUGUGUGUGUGUGUGUGUGUGUGUGAGUGUGUGUGUGUUCAUGAAAGACUUUGCUGUGCAUUUAUGAUUAAAUAUUGAAGACAGAAAAAAAAAUUAAAUCCUGCCAACUUGUUAUAAGCGUAGCUACCACAGCGCACGUGUCUGUGUGUAACCCCCCCCACGUGUCUACAUAUUGAUGAAAAGCAUACAAUAAUAUUGACAUUGUCUUCAUAUGAUUAUUUUCUAAGUGAAUUUGUAAAUGAUAGAGUUAGACCUUACUAAACGGUGUUGAGUAUGAGUUUAUUUUUAUGCUGUGUACCAUGGACAGAUUCUAUAGAGAGUUUAUGUAAACUUGUUGUGUUAAAGUUCACUCCAGAAGCACAAAGUGAUUGUACAAAAUUAUUGUGAAUGUUUGUAUAUUAUAGAUGCAAUUUAAUAAAAAUCUCAAUCUUUAAUCAUA